CAUAGGGAAAAUGUUGGCAAUGGAUGUAAGACACCCACCACAGCUUUCAGUAAGCCCUUACAUAUGGAAAGAUAAAAAUUAAAAUGGUAAAUUGAUGGCAAUAGUCUUAUGAAGGAAAUAAAGAAGCACAGCUUGUGACCCUCAAAUAUUCCUCCACAUGGUGAGGCAAAGGUGCAGCCCCGGAAAACAUGAGCCGAAUUCUUCCUCCUAAUCCUUGUUUUAUCUAGAUAAGCCAACACAAUUUAGAAUGAAGAAUUAUAUUUGAAUAUAUACAAUACAUGCUAAAAUCAAAUGGGGAAGCAUGUCUUGCCUUGUCAAAAACAAUCUUGUCCAUAAGGGGAGCCGCUUUGUCGUGUGGAAGACCCUUUUCCAUAUUUGCCAACUUGCUGCAAAUGGACUCUUUCUCAGUAGGACAGAAGCACAGUAAAGGUAUAUAUAUAUAUAUAUUUAUAUAUAAAUGUAACAAAGAAACGUUUGCAGUAUCUCAUACUAGUUGUAUGCAUAUUGGAACAACAUCUUCUUCAGUGUACCUCCAGAUGAGACUUUAUGGAAUAUACCUUCAACGAUUGACAUUUAUUUUAGUUUUGACUGACAGAUCAUGAGAUAUUGUAUGGUUUCAUAUUCUACUAAUCUAAAUUUUGUCAACUUUGAAAUUUA